rnacentral:rRNA from 1 species
GACAAUGAAGCUGGAGCUUGCUCCGGUGGAUUAGUGGCGAACGGGUGAGUAACACGUGAGAAAUCUGCCCCUGACUCUGGGAUAACUGCGGGAAACUGUAGCUAAUACCGGAUACUUUCCCUGGUGGGCAUCCACUGGGGAAGAAAGAAUUUCGGUCAGGGAGGAUCUCGCGGCCUAUCAGCUAGUUGGUGAGGUAACGGCUCACCAAGGCGACGACGGGUAACCGGCCUGAGAGGGUGACCGGUCACACUGGGACUGAGACACGGCCCAGACUCCUACGGGAGGCAGCAGUGGGGAAUAUUGCACAAUGGGCGCAAGCCUGAUGCAGCAACGCCGCGUGAGGGAUGAAGGCCUUCGGGUUGUAAACCUCUUUUAGCAGGGAAGAAGCGAAAGUGACGGUACCUGCAGAAAAAGCACCGGCUAACUACGUGCCAGCAGCCGCGGUAAUACGUAGGGUGCAAGCGUUGUCCGGAAUUAUUGGGCGUAAAGAGCUCGUAGGCGGUUUGUCACGUCUGCUGUGAAAAUCCAAGGCUCAACCUUGGACUUGCAGUGGGUACGGGCAGGCUAGAGUGCGGUAGGGGAGAUGGGAAUUCCUGGUGUAGCGGUGGAAUGCGCAGAUAUCAGGAGGAACACCAAUGGCGAAGGCACAUCUCUGGGCCGUAACUGACGCUGAGGAGCGAAAGCGUGGGGAGCGAACAGGAUUAGAUACCCUGGUAGUCCACGCCGUAAACGGUGGGUGCUAGCUGUGGGCCACAUUCCACGUGGUCCGUGACGAAGUUAACACAUUAAGCACCCCGCCUGGGGAGUACGGCCGCAAGGCUAAAACUCAAAGGAAUUGACGGGGGCCCGCACAAGCGGCGGAGCAUGCGGAUUAAUUCGAUGCAACGCGAAGAACCUUACCAAGGCUUGACAUAUAGAAGGAAAAGUGCAGAAAUGCACUCCCCGCAAGGUCUCUAUACAGGUGGUGCAUGGUUGUCGUCAGCUCGUGUCGUGAGAUGUUGGGUCAAGUCCCGCAACGAGCGCAACCCUCGUCCUAUGUUGCCAGCACGUAAUG